UUUUAAACACUAGUCUAUAAUAUAUCACUUGUAAAAAGGACCAUAACAUUAAUCAAUAAGUAAUACAUACUUUUGACAAAUUUAUUGGUAUAAUCAUUUUUCUUAUAAUUAAAAGGCAAAAGUAAUAUUCUAAAAUAAAUUUAUAUAAGAGGGUAUGUUUAAAAGAAGAAAAAAAAUAAGUGCAUUGUAUUUAGAGAGAACACAAUUCUUAAGUUUGUUGAGUCUAGUCAAAUAAAAGUUUCUUGAGUCUUGAAAGGCCGUUUGCUCCUUUAUGCACUGUAUUUGUGAUGAUGAUCAUCUAUGAGUUGCUGAGGAACGGCAAGCGCACCACUUUGCGGGCCAUUUAUUAUAAAGUUGCUCCU
rnacentral:lncRNA from 1 species